rfam:Myotis lucifugus cont2.33867, whole genome shotgun sequence.
GGGGCUGCAGAGAGAGAGGCAGGGUCUAAUCAGCAGCCUCUGGCACAGCUGUUGAUCAGCCGUUGCCUCUCUCUUUCUCUCUU